UACGUAGGGUCCGAGCGUUAAUCGGAAUACUGGGCGUAAAGCGUGCGCAGGCGGUUCUGAAAGUCAGCUGUGAAAGCCCCGGGCUUAACCUGGGAAUUGCGGUUGAAACUACAGGGCUAGAAUCUGGCAGAGGGGGGUGGAAUUCCACGUGUAGCAGUGAAAUGCGUAGAGAUGCGGAGGAACACCGAUGGCGAAGGCAGCCCCCUGGGCUAACACUGACGCUCAGGCACGAAAGCGUGGGGAGCAAACAGG
rnacentral:rRNA from 1 species